UUAAGUGGUCUGUGUAAUUUCUAUCAGUAUACAUGGCGAAGAAAAAGUAAUACUGAUGGACAGUUUAUUUAUGAUUAUACAAGUAUGUCAUAAUCUCAGAUAUGAAGAGAUACCAUAUGUAAUGGUACUCAGUAAAUCAAUAUGUUUGCGAAACAAAUCGUAUAAGCUUUUGUAAUGUCUGUAGGAUGAGUGGAUUUCACAGUAUUGAUGUUCAUUUAUGUUGCAGUUGCUCCCAAAAUGCGAUGCUAGAUUGCAAAGUCUUUGCCCUAGGCUUUUCGUUCAGAGACGGCAUUGAAACUGAUAUAGUCUUCUGUUCCACUUGCAGUUCAUUUGGAGGUGAGGAUGAGAGGAAGCUGCUGUCAUCUGAAGUGUAUCCAGGUGUUGAGUCAUCCUCCUGUCUAAUCACACUGUUCCUCUGAAUGCUUCUCGGUGGAGACUGGCUCGAAUCAUGUCCAUGAGUGUACAAGUUUCGAUCCAUCUGCGCUGGCAAGUUUCGUUUGAGGCCUUCACGAAACUCCCUGGAGAUACUCCUUGCUGUCAGGCUGUGUACCUAUGUUCAUUUUCAUUGUUAGAUUUCAAUCGGGAUGAUGUGCUCUGCAUUCUGCCAUAUUUUAAAUUGACAACCAAUCUCUUGAGGACUGAACAUUUUCAUCACAACUGGACAAGAAUGUUGGCUCAUCUACUGGUUAUUGUAUGAUAUAAGUUAUGAAAUGAAUAUGUAUCCCGGAAGAUGUAGCUGUAACAUUGCAAAACUAGUUGUAUCAUAAAUAAAGG